AUUUUUUUUUUUUUGUGGGUAAGCCCGUUCGAGCAAGAAUUUAGAUGUCUUCAAAUUAGAAAUAUGUUGGGAUGGUCGAAUGAUACGAGGAUGUCGGGGAAGAAACUGGAAGUCUCGCCGGUGGAAGCGAUGUUAAGCCUCGGCGUUGUGGUGAAGGUGUGGCUAAUCGAGCGGAGCGACGGUCGCGAUGAAGCGUGGAGCUCGACAGCAGUUGCGACAAGGGGAUCUCGUGUAACGUUACUGGUCUCGUCGUUGUGCGGAAACGGAAGUCUGUAAUAUAAUGGCGAAAGGAGCAAAACCGAAUGCCUGAAAAAAACAGUCGAAUGACCGAGUGUUGAUGUCCUUCAUCUCUGGAUUCACUCAAGAUGAUAGUCCAGCUGGGAAAGCCACGUGGGAACCAGUGAGCACAGGAAAGUUCGACAACGGGGGGGGGAAGCAUGAAGUCAGGAGCUGUUGUCAGGGUAGUGAACGGGAGACCCGACAAGAGGGAACUGGAUUUGUUCCUGAGGAAUUUCCUUUGUCUCCUCCACAGUAGCAGAAAGUGACAGAUGUGUUUUUGGAGAAGAAGAAGAAGAAAAAAAAAAAAAAAAAA